rnacentral:rRNA from 1 species
UAAGACCUCAAAUCAGGU